rnacentral:rRNA from 1 species
GUGGGGAAUAUUGGUCAAUGGGGGGAACCCUGAUCCAGCCAUGCCGCGUGUGUGAAGAAGGCCUUUUGGUUGUAAAGCACUUUAAGCGAGGAGGAGGCUACCGAGAUUAAUACUCUUGGAUAGUGGACGUUACUCGCAGAAUAAGCACCGGCUAACUCUGUGCCAGCAGCCGCGGUAAUACAGAGGGUGCAAGCGUUAAUCGGAUUUACUGGGCGUAAAGCGCGCGUAGGUGGCCAAUUAAGUCAAAUGUGAAAUCCCCGAGCUUAACUUGGGAAUUGCAUUCGAUACUGGUUGGCUAGAGUAUGGGAGAGGAUGGUAGAAUUCCAGGUGUAGCGGUGAAAUGCGUAGAGAUCUGGAGGAAUACCGAUGGCGAAGGCAGCCAUCUGGCCUAAUACUGACACUGAGGUGCGAAAGCAUGGGGAGCAAACAGGAUUAGAUACCCUUGUAGUCC